UACGGAGGAUGCGAGCGUUAUCCGGAUUUAUUGGGUUUAAAGGGUGCGUAGGCGGCUUUUUAAGUCAGCGGUGAAAUUUUGCAGCUUAACUGUAACAGUGCCGUUGAUACUGGGGAGCUAGGAUUUGGUUGCUGUGGGUGGAAUGUGUGGUGUAGCGGUUAAAUGCUUAGAGAUCACACAGAAUAUCGAUUGCGAAGGCAGCUCACAAAGCCAAGAUUGACGCUGAGGCACGAAAGCGUGGGGAGCAAACAGGAUUAGA
rnacentral:rRNA from 1 species